rnacentral:lncRNA from 1 species
CCGCUCCACCAUCCCAUUUCCACAGUGGUGCUACCAUGGGGAUGAUGGGAGGUGGUUGUGGAUGAUUGUUUCCAUUCUUCACAGGGACACUGGUUGUGAGGAAGAUCUCCUCCCUCUCUGCAGGGACACUAGCCUUUGGGACGAUCCACUCCCUGUGCGCAGGGACGCUGGCCUUUGGGAAGAUUCCUUUCCUCUGCGCAGUGACACUGGCCAUCAGGAGGAUCAACUCCCUUUGUGCAGGGGUGAGGCCUGAUGCUCGGAGAAUCCCCUCCCUCUGUGCAGGGACACUGGCUGUUUGGAGAAACCCCUCCCUCUGUGCAGGGACACUGGCUGUUUGGAGAAACCCCUCCCUCUGUGCAGGGACACUGGCUGAUUGGAGAAUCUCCUCCCUCUGUGCAGGGACACUGGCUGAUUGGAGAAUCUCCUCCCUCUGUGCAGGGACACUGGCUGUUUGGAGAAUCUCCUCCCUCUGUGCAGGGAUGAGGCCUGAUGAUCGGAGGAUCUCCUCCCUCUGCACAGUGAUGCUAGCUGCUGAGAGAAUCCCCUCCCUCUGUGAAGGGACACUGGCUGUUUGGAGGAUUCCCUCCCUCUGUGCAGGGACACUGGCUGUUUGGAGGAUUCCCUCCCUCUGUGAAGGUACACUGGCUGUUUGGAGGAUACCCUCCCUCUGUGACAGGAUGAGGCCUGAUGCUUGGACGAUCUCCUCCCUCUGCACAGCAACUUCGGCUGCUGUGAUGAUCUGCAG